GGUGCAAAAUCUUCUGAUGGCAUCUGUUACGGUUUGGCUGUGUCCCCACCCAAAUCUCAUCUUGAUUUCCCAUGUGUUGUUGGAGGGACCUGGUAGCAGGUAAUUGAAUCAUGGGGCCAAGUCUUUCCUGUGCUGUUCUCAUGAUAGUGAAUAAGUCUUACAAGA